rnacentral:rRNA from 1 species
UACGUAGGGGGCUAGCGUUGUCCGGAAUCAUUGGGCGUAAAGCGCGUGUAGGCGGUCCGGUAAGUCCGCUGUGAAAGUCGGGGGCUCAACCCUCGAAUGCCGGUGGAUACUGUCGGGCUAGAGUGCGGGAGAGGCGAGGUGGAAUUCCUGGUGUAGCGGUGAAAUGACGCAGAUAUCAGGAGGAACACCAAUUGCGAAGGCAGCUCGCUGGGACGUUACUGACGCUGGAGAACGCGAAAGCGUGGGGAGCAAACAGG